UUGGGCGUAAAGCGCGCGCAGGCGGUUUCUUAAGUCUGAUGUGAAAGCCCACGGCUCAACCGUGGAGGGUCAUUGGAAACUGGGGAACUUGAGUGCAGAAGAGAAAAGCGGAAUUCCACGUGUAGCGGUGAAAUGCGUAGAUAUAUGGAGGAACACCAGUGGCGAAGGCGACUUUCUGGUCUGUAACUGACGCUGAGGCUCGAAAGCAUGGGGAGCAAACAGGAUUAGAUACCCUGGUAGUCCAUGCCGUAAACGAUGAGUGCUAAGUGUUGGAGGGUUUCCGACCUUCAGUGCUGCAGCUAACGCAUUAAGCACUCCGCCUGGGGAGUACGACCGCAAGGUUGAAACUCAAAGGAAUUGACGGGGGCCCGCACAAGCGGUGGAGCAUGUGGUUUAAUUCGAAGCAACGCGAAGAACCUUACCAGGUCUUGACAUCCUUUGACCACUCUAGAGAUAGAGCUUUCCCUUCGGGGACAAAGUGACAGGUGGUGCAUGGUUGUCGUCAGCUCGUGUCGUGAGAUGUUGGGUUAAGUCCCGCAACGAGCGCAACCCUUAUUAUUAGUUGCCAGCAUUCAGUUGGGCACUCUAGUGAGACUGCCGGUGAUAAACCGGAGGAAGGUGGGGAUGACGUCAAAUCAUCAUGCCCCUUAUGACCUGGGCUACACACGUGCUACAAUGGAUGGUACAACGAGUCGCAAAACCGCGAGGUUAAGCUAAUCUCUUAAAGCCAUCCUCAGUUCGGAUUGUAGGCUGCAAUUCGCCUACAUGAAGCCGGAAUCGC
rnacentral:rRNA from 1 species